GACGAACGCUGGCGGCGUGCUUAACACAUGCAAGUCGAACGGAAAGGCCCUGCUUUUGUGGGGUGCUCGAGUGGCGAACGGGUGAGUAACACGUGAGUAACCUGCCCUUGACUUUGGGAUAACUUCAGGAAACUUGGGCUAAUACCGGAUAGGAGCUCCUGCUGCAUGGUGGGGGUUGGAAAGUUUCGGCGGUUGGGGAUGGACUCGCGGCUUAUCAGCUUGUUGGUGGGGUAGUGGCUUACCAAGGCUUUGACGGGUAGCCGGCCUGAGAGGGUGACCGGCCACAUUGGGACUGAGAUACGGCCCAGACUCCUACGGGCGGCAGCAGUGGGGAAUAUUGCACAAUGGGCGGAAGCCUGAUGCAGCAACGCCGCGUGCGGGAUGACGGCCUUCGGGUUGUAAACCGCUUUCGCCUGUGACGAAGCGUGAGUGACGGUAAUGGGUAAAGAAGCGCCGGCUAACUACGUG
rnacentral:rRNA from 1 species